rnacentral:lncRNA from 1 species
CGUGAUGCCCUCCCAGCACUCCACUGCUAUCCCAUCAGCGCUGGCAUUUGUGAGGGCCAUGAGCGGUCCCCCCAUCAUCUUCCGCUAGGCUAUCUACGCCAUGGCCUCAACGGCAUCCAUGGAGCGUAACAAUUAAAUAUUGGAUGCGCUAGCCAACACAACAGCAGUAGUAGGGCAUGGUGGAACUCAUCGUCACCAUCA